GGUGGCCUAGUGGUUAAAGCGUCCGCCUCAGAUGCUGGAGGUCGUGGGUUAGAUCCCUGGCCGAAUCA